rnacentral:misc_RNA from 1 species
GAUGAAGAACGCAGCGAAAUGCGAUAAGUAAUGCGAAUUGCAGAAUUUCCGUGAGUCAUCGAGUCUUUGAACGCACAUUGCGCCUCAUGGUAUUCCGUGAGGCAUGCCUGUCUGAGCGUCAACAACACCACUCAAGCAUUGCUUUCUUGCUCUGCUUGGUCCAUGUCAGGGAAGCGGUUGGGCCUGUCCAACUGCCCCUUGAAAAGCAAUAGAUGGUCAGGUUGUCACCUUAAGCCAAACGUCAUAUGAUUCUUAUCGUUCGUUUGUCUAUCUGACUUCUUGACAGUUGUUGAACCCAACAGCACCAUGCUGUUUAUUCUGACUUGACCUCAGAUCAGGUAGGGAUACCCGCUGAACUUAAGCAUAUCAAUAAGCGGAGGA